CAUGUGUGGUGUGUUUGUAUUAAUCUGAUAGUGGUAUGUACAGCCACGACCAAAAUGAUUGGCACCCUUGACAAAUACUGAGCUAUAUUGUAUGCUACAAAAGACGGGAUGUACAUUGUACAUGUGGUUUCACAUAAAGACGUGUGCUUGCUAUUUUAAGAGCUCUCAGAGCAACAGAUAUAGAUACAUAUAUUAUAUUUAAGAUAUAGCAAUAGAUUGUUGUGGAGACAUUUUGAAAAUGGCCUGAAGUAAGAGUGACAGUAAGAUUGAUUGAUUGGAUGCUUCGUAAGCGCUUUAGGAGUAGUAUUAACAUGAGACACAGUGAUGGUGGGUUAUGUUUAGGAGUAGUAUUAACAUGAGACAGUGACGGUGGGUUGUGUUUAGGAGUAGAAUUAACAUGAGACACAGUGAUGGUGGGUUGUGUUUAGGAGUAGUAUUAACAUGAGACAGUGACGGUGGGUUGUGUUUAGGAGUAGUAUUAACAUGAGACACAGUGAUGGUGGGUUGUGUUUAGAAGUAGUAUUAACAUGAGACACAGUGAUGGUGGGUUGUGUUUAGGAGUAGUAUUAACAUGAGACACAGUGAUGGUGGGUUGUGUUUAGGAGUAGUAUUAAAAUGAGACGCAGUAAUGAUGGGUUGUGUUUAGGAGUAGUAUUAACAUGAGACACAGUGACGGUGGGUUGUGUUUAGGAGUAGUAUUAACAUGAGACACAGUGAUGGUGGGUUGUGUUUAGGAGUAGUAUUAACAUGAGACACAGUGAUGGUGGGUUGUGUUUAGGAGUAGUAUUAACAUGAGACACAGUGAUGGUGGGUUGUGUUUAGGAGUAGUAUUAACAUGAGACACAGUGAUGGUGGGUUGUGUUUAGGAGUAGUAUUAACAUGAGACACAGUGAUGGUGGGUUGUGUUUAGGAGUAGUAUUAAAAAGAGACGCAGUGAUGGUGGGUUGUGUUUAGGAGUAGUAUUAACAUGAGACACAGUGAUGGUGGGUUGUGUUUAGGAGUAGUAUUAACAUGAGACACAGUGAUGGUGGGUUGUGUUUAGGAGUAGUGUUAACAUGAGACACAGUGAUGGUGGGUUGUGUUUAGGAGUAGUAUUAACAUGAGACGCAGUGAUGG
rnacentral:lncRNA from 1 species